rnacentral:rRNA from 1 species
UGGCGGACGGGUGAGGAAUACAUCGGGAUCUACUCUGUCGUGGGGGAUAACGUAGGGAAACUUACGCUAAUACCGCAUACGACCUACGGGUGAAAGCAGGGGAUCUUCGGACCUUGCGCGAUUGAAUGAGCCGAUGUCGGAUUAGCUAGUUGGCGGGGUAAAGGCCCACCAAGGCGACGAUCCGUAGCUGGUCUGAGAGGAUGAUCAGCCACACUGGAACUGAGACACGGUCCAGACUCCUACGGGAGGCAGCAGCA